UUGUUCCCUUGAGGAGUGGCUUCCGGAGCUAACGCGUUAAGUCGACCGCCUGGGGAGUACGGCCGCAAGGUUAAAACUCAAAUGAAUUGACGGGGGCCCGCACAAGCGGUGGAGCAUGUGGUUUAAUUCGAUGCAACGCGAAGAACCUUACCUACUCUUGACAUCCACGGAAUUUAGCAGAGAUGCUUUAGUGCCUUCGGGAACCGUGAGACAGGUGCUGCAUGGCUGUCGUCAGCUCGUGUUGUGAAAUGUUGGGUUAAGUCCCGCAACGAGCGCAACCCUUAUCCUUUGUUGCCAGCGGUUCGGCCGGGAACUCAAAGGAGACUGCCAGUGAUAAACUGGAGGAAGGUGGGGAUGACGUCAAGUCAUCAUGGCCCUUACGAGUAGGGCUACACACGUGCUACAAUGGCGUAUACAAAGAGAAGCGACCUCGCGAGAGCAAGCGGACCUCAUAAAGUACGUCGUAGUCCGGAUUGGAGUCUGCAACUCGACUCCAUGAAGUCGGAAUCGCUAGUAAUCGUAGAUCAGAAUGCUACGGUGAAUACGUUCCCGGGCCUUGUACACACCGCCCGUCACACCAUGGGAGUGGGUUGCAAAAGAAGUAG
rnacentral:rRNA from 1 species